rnacentral:tRNA from 1 species
GCCUUUGUGGCAUAGUGGUUUGAGUGUUGGACUACGACUCUGAAGACCAGAGUUCAGUUCCUAGCUCAGCCA